GUACACUCCUACGGGAGGCAGCAGUGGGGAAUAUUGAACAAUGGGCGCAAGCCUGAUCCAGCCAUGCCGCGUGAGUGAUGAAGGCCCUAGGGUUGUAAAGCUCUUUCACCGGUGAAGAUAAUGACGGUAACCGGAGAAGAAGCCCCGGCUAACUUCGUGCCAGCAGCCGCGGUAAUACGAAGGGGGCUAGCGUUGUUCGGAUUUACUGGGCGUAAAGCGCACGUAGGCGGACUAUUAAGUCAGGGGUGAAAUCCCGGGGCUCAACCCCGGAACUGCCUUUGAUACUGGUAGUCUUGAGUUCGAGGGAGGUGAGUGGAAUUCCGAGUGUAGAGGUGAAAUUCGUAGAUAUUCGGAGGAACACCAGUGGCGAAGGCGGCUCACUGGCUCGAUACUGACGCUGAGGUGCGAAAGCGUGGGGAGCAAACAGGAUUAGAAACCCCAGUAGUCC
rnacentral:rRNA from 1 species